UGGUGAGCUGACUUCCAGAGCGGUGAGAUCCCAAGUCUACCAGGUCUUGUUGGCAAGCUGGCCUCUGGGCACCAGGUACCAUCCUCACUCUUUGUCUGCCUUUUGAGUCAAGCUUCUUCAGAGAGAGAGACACACACAUCCCUGGGCUUAUGCUGUGGCCUGGUGGCUACCCAGGACCUGCCCCCCUCCAUGUGCUCAAUUUCAACAGUCACUGGUGACUUCACUGCCACCUAUGACCCCGUCCCCUCUCCCCAGCCUGCCCUACUGCUCCUCCUUAUCACAAAGUUCCUACCCCAAGGACCACCACAGCCCGUCCUCUAGGAAGCCUGCUUGCUGCUCUGCCGUAUCUCCAGAGGAUAUUCCGGGGGCCCGGAGUUGCACAACAGAUGAUCAUCUUCCCAGCACUUCAUACCCACAUAUAUAUUCAGAAGGUGUUCAGGCUGCUUAGAUUACCCUCCUUUUGGACAGACCAAGACUACAUGGACAGCGAGGACAUUCCCA
rnacentral:lncRNA from 1 species